rnacentral:rRNA from 1 species
GAUGAACGCUGGCGGCGUUCCUAAUACAUGCAAGUCGAGCGAACAGACUAGGAUCUUGCUCCUCUUACGUUUGCGGCCGACGCUUGAGUAACACGUGGAUAACCUACCUAUAAUACUGGGAUACCUUCGGUAAACCUGAGCUACUACCUUAUGAUAUAUUGAACCGCGUUGUUCAAUAGUGAAAUACGUGUUUGCUGUCACUGAUAGAUGUAUCCGCGCCACAUUAGCUAGUUGGUAAUGUAACGGCUUACCAAGGCAACGAUGCGUAGCCGACCUUAGCGGGUGCUCGGCCACACUGGAACGGAGACACGGUCCAGACUACUACGGGAGGCAGCAGUAGGGAAUCUUCCGCAAUGGGCGAAAGCCUGACGGAGCAACGCCGCGUGAGCGAUGAAGGUCUUCGGAUCGUAAAACUAUGUUAUUAGGGAAGAACAAAUGUGUAAGUAAAUAUGCACGUCCUGACGGUACCUAAUAAGAAAGCCACGGCUAACUACGUG